rnacentral:rRNA from 1 species
UACAGAGACUGCAAGCGUUAUUCGGAUUCACUGGGCGUAAAGCGUGCGCAGGCGGUUUUGUAAGCCAGAUGUGAAAUCCCCGGGCUCAACCUGGGAAUGGCAUUUGGGACUGCAAGGCUUGAGUGCGGCAGAGGAGACUGGAAUUCCUGGUGUAGCAGUGAAAUGCGUAGAUAUCAGGAGGAACACCUGUGGCGAAAGCGGCUCACUGGACCACAACUGACGCUGAUGCACGAAAGCUAGGGGAGCAAACAGG